rnacentral:rRNA from 1 species
AUACGUAGGUGACAAGCGUUAUCCGGAUUUACUGGGCGUAAAGGGCGUGUGGGCGGUCUUGCAAGUCAGAAGUGAAAUUCCUGAGCUCAACUCGGGCGCUGCUUCUGAAACUGCAGGACUUGAGUGCUGGAGGGGAUAGCGGAAUUCCUAGUGGAGCGGUAAAAUGCGCAGAUAUUAGGAAGAACACCGGUGGCGAAGGCGGCUAUCUGGACAGUAACUGACGCUGAGGCGCGAAAGUGUGGGGAGCGAACAGGAUUAGAUACCCUGGUAGUCUACGCUGUAAACGAUGAAUACUAGGUGUAGGGGGUAUCGACUCCCUCUGUGCCGCAGUUAACACAAUAAGUAUUCCGCCUGGGGAGUACGGCCGCAAGGUUGAAACUCAAAUGAAUUGGCGGGG